AGUGAACGCUGGCGGUAGGCCUAACACAUGCCAGUCGAACGGCAGCACAGUAAGAGCUUGCUCUUACGGGUGGCGAGUGGCGGACGGGUGAGGAAUACAUCGGAAUCUACUUUUUCGUGGGGGAUAACGUAGGGAAACUUACGCUAAUACCGCAUACGACCUACGGGUGAAAGCAGGGGAUCUUCGGACCUUGCGCGAUUGAAUGAGCCGAUGUCGGAUUAGCUAGUUGGCGGGGUAAAGGCCCACCAAGGCGACGAUCCGUAGCUGGUCUGUGAGGAUGAUCAGCCACACUGGAACUGGAACACGGUCCAGACUCCUACGGGAGGCAGCAGGGGGGAAUAUUGGACAAUGGGCGCAAGCCUGAUCCAGCCAUACCGCGUGGGUGAAGAAGGCCUUCGGGUUGUAAAGCCCUUUUGUGGGGAAAGAAAAGCAGCAGGUUAAUACCCCGCUGUUCUGACGGUACCCAAAAAAUAAGCACCGGCUAACUUCGUG
rnacentral:rRNA from 1 species